rnacentral:misc_RNA from 1 species
GAUGAAGAACGCAGCGAAAUGCGAUACGUAAUGUGAAUUGCAGAAUUCAGUGAAUCAUCGAAUCUUUGAACGCAUAUUGCGCUCUCUGGUAUUCCGGAGAGCAUGCUUGUUUGAGUAUCAGUAAACACCUCAACUCCCUUUUCUUUUUUGAAAUGGGAGCUGGACUUGAGUGAUCCCAACACUUUUCUCACUGGAAAGUGGCGGGUCACUUGAAAUGCAGGUGCAGCUGGACUUUUCUCUGAGCUAUAAGCAUAUCUAUUUAGUCUGCCUAAAAAACAGAUUAUUACCUUUGCUGCAGCUAACAUAAAGGAGAUGAGUUCUUGUGCUGACUGAUGCAGGAUUCACAGAGACAGCUUUGCGGCUGACUUUGUAAACUCGAUCUCAAAUCAAGUAAGACUACCCGCUGAACUUAAGCAUAUCAUAAGCGGAGGA